AUCUUUACUACUUUAUAUGUUAGCAGUGUAGGCGUGCACACUGCCUUGUUCUGCCAUCGCGCGCUCGCCUCCCUCCCCGCGCCCGCAGUCCCCGCAUCCGCGCCCGCAGUCCCGCCGCGCCCGCAGUCCCCGCUGCCGAGCAGUCCUGCCGCGCCCCCUCCCCCUGCAAACCCCACCACGACGCAGCAACAGAUCCACCAUCGACGUGCGCGCCGCGCGCCCCGACGCGGAACGCUGGAUCCCACGCAGCAGGAGGUGGCCAACCAGUCGCCAUCGCCCCCGGCCCCCACCCCGCCUGCUGCAGCAAGCGGCGUCCGCUACCGCACGCCCUCGUCCCCGGACCUCCUCCUCCCUGCCGACGCCGCCAAGAUGCGCCGCUACUCCGCGCUGCCCAACGGCGGCCGCCAGGAGACGCUGGCCGACCGCGCGCACCGCUACCGGGGCAUCGUGCUCGUCAUCCUCGCCCCGCUCGCGCUCGUCUCUCUCGUCCUCCUCCUCAUGCCACGCUCACCCGCUGGCACCAUGGGCAGCGCCCGGGAUAGACAGCGAGAUCGAGCUCUUCGUCCAGGUACGCACUCCCCCGCCCGGUGACCCGUUGCCGGACCUGGAGUCACGCUGCCUAGACUCGCCGCUGGGUGGAUUCGUCGAGGUGGAGGUCGGAUUGUGACCACGCCAUCCAGUUAGGACGUCGUCGUCUCCAGAUCCAGGGGAUGGGGUUGCUCGGCAUGGCGGCCAAGGGCCCCUCGCCCACGCGUCGCCUCCUGCCGCAGCCGCACUUGGCCGUCUCCUCGCUGGUGGCCUCCGUGGCUCUGAUCCACCCUUCCUCAACACCCAAAGAUGGUUGACGUCACCUUCGCCGUCUCCUCGCCAGUGGCCUCCACCAGCCCCGCAGUCCAAGACAAAGCCGCGACAUGAGUCAACCCAAGUCCGGUCGCACCUACACCGAUGACCGUACCCAACGUGAGUCAAGCCAAGUCCAUUCCCCUCCCUUGCUUCCUCAACUUGUUGUCUUGUGGUCUGAAGUUUGUCUCGGAGAAGGUGAUGCCAUCAUCAUCAGUUGUGAUUAUGAAUUAUAUUCUACCGAUAGGUAUUCAAUCUCUCUAUUCGGCAACACCUUAAAAAGAUUUACUUCAAAAUAUUGACAAGUGGAUUGCAGGCUUAGAUAAUUUUUGGAACACAACAUUGCUCCAAAAAAGUUUUACUGAAGAAAAGGUAUCAGUCUGCAGUUUGGUAAGUGAGUCUGAAUCUGCAGCACCAAGGACUUCAAGAAUUAGUCUGAACCUGCACUUACAGUUCCAUGGGUCUUCUCAAUUCUUAAUAAUAUUAUAUUUUUAAUGAAUAAUUGAAUAUAUAUUGAGUCUGUGCCAUAGAUUCAGUCGCCUUAACACCCUUUGCUGUUUCCCACUUAAGUUAGUUAAUGAGAUGAAUGGAUGGAAAUUACGUAGUGAAUGUAUGAUAAGUCCAGGCUACAUGUUAAAAGACACACUUGGCUACUUGACCUCUGUAUUUCCAUGAAGAAAUCUUACUGACGGGUGCUUUCAUCUGCUAUUUGGAUCCGUUGCUGAUGGAUCUUACAAAGAAGUUGAGCUUUAAGAGGAACGUGGUGUCAUUGUCAUCUGAGCUCAAGGGUGUGAGGAGCAAGCUUGCUUCCUAGGAGCAGCUGUUUGUAAGGGAAUCUCAAACUGGAAAGCUUGCGGAGACAAAAACAAGGAGCAUGGAAGAGGAAGUAAUCAAGCUGCAUAAAUGCUUACAGGACAAGGAUGAACAACUGCAUUCAUUCACAAGUAGCACAGAACAGUACCAUCAUGAGUUGGAUGAUCUUAGAACACAUCUGUCAUUUACUCAAGCUACAGGAGAAGCAGGAACCCAACUGAACCUUCAACUUGCUUGUUCUGGGAGAUCUGUGAGCAAGCGAGUGCUCCUCACAAUGGGUAUUCGACAUGAGCCCCAUCCCUGCCACAGACUUGGGAAAGGCACAGUGAUUUUUAUGGUGACAUGAAUACAUUCCUCUUCAAAUUAUAUCUUUAAGCAUCCAUUUUUCGCCCUACUGGUGCAAACAAGAAUUUGCAAUGGGUAGGUUACUGGCUGCACUUGUUUUUGAAUACUUGGAGUGACCACAACUAAGUCACACAAUGAAACUUUACUUUCCAGAGUGUAACCUGCCGGACUUCUGAUAGAAUGAACUGAAAGACUUCUCUAACAAAAGUGGAGCUGAGGGGAGCAAGAGUGCUGAAAGUGGUCCAAUGUUUUUAGAUGUUCUCGAAUGUUAUCUGAAAUAUGAGGUUUAUCUCUUGCUUGAUCAACAAUAGAAGCAAAAAAUCAUCCUUUUGUUUAUUUAUGUUUCCCAAUAUAAAGGAAAAGGGGAAAUAUUUUGGUGCAGUGUGCCCAAUUCUUUUGUCUCUAGAAAACUAUGUAGUCGCCUAUAGCAGGCGCUAUAGUCAGUUUUAGCUAUUUUAGACACCACUACUAUUUGUACACACAUUUCUAUUAUCCUAUUUUAGCCUGCUAUAUUCAUGUAUGAGCCUUAUGGGAACUCUGCAACUACUAUGGAUCCUCUUAUACAUUGUGUUCGACAUGCAGACAAGGUAGUAUAUUGAGUUGGACCAAUAAUCCUUCAUAUUUAUUGAUGUGAAUUAUGUUGUACUGGUGUCCUGUCCUUUUGUUUGUGCUUUAUAAUUUGUAAUUCCUAGCUGCUGAUAUGGUCUGAUGGAUGGGAGGUGGCUGAAAUCGUUCGGGUAUGGUGCAUAAAAAAGUAGGAACCACAAUGAGAUUGUGAUGCUGCACAUGACACAUCAAGGUGCGCAAGAUAUGUACCAUAGAAAUUAUCGUAAAGUGCACACAGUUGUAUGUAUAGAUGUUUAGAAGUGGCCGAAGUUAGGCUUGCUCAACCGGGGCAAUGAUUUACUUAGCCUGCUGAAAUGUACUAUAGGUAGCAUUCAAGUUUGUGACCAUCAUGCAAGUACAUGUGGUUUGUUGAAAUUGUGUGGUCAUCGGAGAUGUAGCAAAAUGUUCCUUAUCGAGAGCUCGUGUACUAUAUUUGUUUUAUGAACUUAAUUUUGUUGAUGUAGGACUAUUACAAA